AAGAUUUAUGGUAAAGGAUGGCAUGCGUGACAUUAGUUAGUUGGUGAGGUAACGGCUCACCAAGACGAUGAUGUCUAGGGGUUCUGAGAGGAUGAUCCCCCACACUGGUACUGAGAUACGGACCAGACUCCUACGGGAGGCAGCAGUAGGGAAUAUUGGUCAAUGGGCGAGAGCCUGAACCAGCCAUGCCGCGUGCAGGAAGACGGCCUUCUGGGUUGUAAACUGCUUUUAUCAGGGAA
rnacentral:rRNA from 1 species